rnacentral:siRNA from 1 species
AUAUACUUCGGUUUGAUGGUAUCU